rnacentral:rRNA from 1 species
UGCAGUCGACGGUGAAGCCCUUCGGGGUGGAUCAGUGGCGAACGGGUGAGUAACACGUGGGCAAUCUGCCCUGCACUCUGGGACAAGCCCUGGAAACGGGGUCUAAUACCGGAUAUGACCAUUGACCGCAUGGUUGGUGGUGUAAAGCUCCGGCGGUGCAGGAUGAGCCCGCGGCCUAUCAGCUUGUUGGUGGGGUGAUGGCCUACCAAGGCGACGACGGGUAGCCGGCCUGAGAGGGCGACCGGCCACACUGGGACUGAGACACGGCCCAGACUCCUACGGGAGGCAGCAGUGGGGAAUAUUGCACAAUGGGCGAAAGCCUGAUGCAGCGACGCCGCGUGAGGGAUGACGGCCUUCGGGUUGUAAACCUCUUUCAGCAGGGAAGAAGCGCAAGUGACGGUACCUGCAGAAGAAGCACCGGCUAACUACGUGCCAGCAGCCGCGGUAAUACGUAGGGUGCGAGCGUUGUCCGGAAUUAUUGGGCGUAAAGAGCUCGUAGGCGGCUUGUCGCGUCGGAUGUGAAAGCCCGGGGCUUAACUCCGGGUCUGCAUUCGAUACGGGCAGGCUAGAGUUCGGUAGGGGAGAUCGGAAUUCCUGGUGUAGCGGUGAAAUGCGCAGAUAUCAGGAGGAACACCGGUGGCGAAGGCGGAUCUCUGGGCCGAUACUGACGCUG